rnacentral:rRNA from 1 species
UACGUAGGGGGCAAGCGUUGUCCGGAUUUAUUGGGCGUAAAGAGCGUGUAGGCGGUUAGGUAGGUCCGUUGUGAAAACUCGAGGCUCAACCUCGAGACGCCGAUGGAAACCCCCUGGCUAGAGUCCGGAAGAGGAGAAUGGAAUUCCUGGUGUAGCGGUGAAAUGCGCAGAUAUCAGGAAGAACACCCGUGGCUAAGGCGGUUCUCUAGUACGGUACUGACGCUGAGACGCGAAAGCGUGGGGAGCGAACAGG